ACUCAAAUGAAUUGACGGGGACCCGCACAAGCGGUGGAGCGUGUUCUUUAAUUCGAUGAUAAACGAAGAACCUUACCAGGGCUUGACAUCCCUUGAAUUUUGUCGAAAGACGAGAGUGCUUUAUUGAGCAAGGUGACAGGUGUUGCAUGGCCGUCGUCAGCUCGUGUCGUGAGAUGUUUGGUUAAGUCCAUCAACGAGCGCAACCCUUGUGAUUAGUUGUAUUUUUCUAAUCAAACUGCCCCGGUAACGGGGAGGAAGGAGGGGAUGAUGUCAGGUCAGUAUUACCCUUACGCCCUGGGCUAGAAACGCGCUACAAUGGCCAGUACAAUGCGCAGCGAAGUCGCGAGAUGGAGCAAAUCGCAUCAAAGCUGGUCCCAGUUCGGAUAGUAGGCUGAAACUCGCCUGCUUGAAGUCGGAAUCGCUAGUAAUCGCAAAUCAGCAUGUUGCGGUGAAUACGUUCCCGGGUCUUGUACACACCGCCCGU
rnacentral:rRNA from 1 species